GACAGAGGUCCCGAGCGUUAGGCGGAAUCACUGGGCUUAAAGCGUGUGUAGGCGGAUGCCUAAGUACGUUGUGAAAUCCCACGGCUCACCCGUGGAACUGCUCGGUAUACUGGGUGUCUUGAGCCACUUAGGGGCUACCGGAACAAAUGGUGGAGCGGUGAAAUGCGUAGAUAUCAAGCGGAACACCGGUGGCGAAGGCGGCCUUCUGGACAGUGACUGACGCUGAGACGCGAAAGCGUGGGGAGCAAACAGG
rnacentral:rRNA from 1 species